rnacentral:rRNA from 1 species
GACGAACCGUGCGAACGUUGUUCGGAAUCACUGGGCUUAAAGGGCGCGUAGGCGGAUCGGCAAGUCGGGGGUGAAAUCUUUCGGCCCAACCGGAAAAGGGCCUCCGAUACUGCCGACCUCGAGGGAGGUAGGGGUCGAUGGAACUUCCGGUGGAGCGGUGAAAUGCGUAGAUAUCGGAAGGAACGCCGGUGGCGAAAGCGAUCGACUGGACCUCUUCUGACGCUGAGGCGCGAAAGCCAGGGGAGCGAACGGG